rnacentral:lncRNA from 1 species
UAACCGCUCCCAGUGCUCCCAGUAUAAACCAGUAUGAACCAGUAAGGACCAGGGACCACUCCCAGUGUUCCCAGUAUGGCCCAAAAUGGCUCCCAGUAUAAACCAGUACGGCUCCCAGUGCUCCCAGUAUGAACCGGUAUGGCUCCCAGUACAAACCAGUAUGGACCAGUAUGGCUCCCAGUGCUCCCAGUAUGACCCAAACCCCCUCCCAGUACAAACCAGUGCUCCCAGUAUGACCCGAAAUGGCUCCCAGUGCUCCCAGUAUGAACCAGUAUGGCUCCCAGUAUGGACCAGUAUGGCUCCCAGUAUG